rnacentral:misc_RNA from 1 species
AGGGUCGAAAAUUUGCAUUUUAUGUGGGUGGGAAUGAAAUGUAGCACAUGAGAGCAGAAUGAUGAAAAGCUUGUGACUGGGAGCUCCAUCUGUGAGACUAUAACCCAAACCCAACGAAAAGUAGAUGGUUCAGACCAGCCCAAUUACUACUUACUAGGAUCUCGCCAAAGUUGUCAAAAAGCUGCAUCGAGUUAUCAAGAUCAAGUUGAUUCUCGAUCAUUGCGG